UCUCUGAGUGACGAAAAAGAUGUUUUUCCUUGAUUGAUAGGUGUUAAGUGAAUCUAUAAAUGUACAUAUGUUGUCAGUAAAGUAUUAAAUACAUUUUAGUGUAAAUGAAAUUCCCACCUGAAAAGAAAACAGUAUACAGAGAUCAUUAGUAUCAUAACAAUAAUAACAAUUAAAGCUAACAUGAUUAGAGCACUCAUUUAUGUUCACAACUUUAAGAGGUAGCUGAUUUCUAGGUUGCAGAUGGAACAAAUGAAGCCUAAGGAAGUUGAGUAACUUGCCUCACAGAUGGUUCAGAGCAGAGCUGGAUUUGAUCCCAGGCAGUCUGGCUCCAGAGUUCAUCCUCUUAAUGGAAACCUCAGGUGAGAUGAUAUUGUAGAAAAAGAAAUAUGUUGCUGGUGAAGGAUUUCUUAUCAUUUAGCGGGAAUAUUGUUUAAAUUCGUAUUUUUUACAGGGACCUACAUGUGGAUUCACUUUAGAUGCUUCACAAUAAUAUCUCACUACUAAUAUUUGACAAUGAGCCAUUCUUAUGAAAGCUAUUUACAAGAACAGGAUUUCCCCAUGUGGUGAACCUAGUGAAGUGUUUUGAGAAGCAAAAAGUACAAUGUGAAUUCCAGCCCUCCAAGGUCUAUCUCACUUCCUCCAGGGAAGACACUGGGAGGGGAGGCAAGAGAGCAGGCUGUGCACGAUGACACAGUGCUUGGUCUCCGGAAAGUCUCUUCUCAGCCUCCAGAGCCCAGCGUGGUAUCUGACCCAGGUCAGCACCUAGCAGAAGUCUGCUUUCCAAACAGCUAUUUCUGUGCCAUGGCUUUAAGCUGAAGUUCACAAAGUAAUUUAUGUUCUUUCUUAUUUAUUGUCUCAUAAAUUUUUUUUGACAUUUA